ACUCAUCAGAUGACUGUCAAAGACAAACUUAGAUGCAUACUGGAAUUUAACUUAAUGUAAUAAAUCAAAUUGCUAGAUUUUUUUUAGUGACUGAAUUUAUUCUGGUGAUUUUUGUAAAGUCAAUAAAUGAGGAGAAAUCACUGUGGUGGACUUUUAGCAGAGGACCCAAAAAUUGAGGUUUUUGUACAGGCACUGAAUGGGUUUGUAUCACUGUGGUACACUUUUGGUGGCGGCACAAGACUCUCAGUUGGAAAUAAUGCUCUCCCUACUCUAACAGUCCUGCCUCCCUCCAGAGAUGAGUUGAAACAGGGUAAAGCUACAGUCAUGUGUGUUGGCAGUAAUGGUUUUCCCUCUGACUGGAAGCUGAACUGGAAGGUUGAUGGUAGCAGCAAGAGCUCUGGUGUGAAUCUGAGUCCCAGUGUACUGCUGAAGGAUGGACUGUACAGCUGGAGCAGCAGUCUGAGUCUCACUGACAGUGAAUGGAGAUCAGCAAAAACCAUCAGCUGUGAGGCCACACAGAGCUCACAGAGUCCAGUCAUACAAACCAUUGACACAAAACAGUGUGAUGCAGAAUGAUCACACACAAUUUACAGAAUAUACUACAUUAAAAUCUUAUUCAAAAAAGUUCAUGUUUGCAGAGGUUAUGUUGCUUUUAAUGUAGCUUAUUGUAUAACAGCAUACUUUAUUCAUUUGCUGAUUCCUAUAUUUUGGUUGCAAAAUAAAUGCAUUUUGG